rnacentral:rRNA from 1 species
AUAUACAGCCGUAGCACCCUGAAAACACCCCAUCUGGUCUGAUCUGGGAAGCUAAGCAGGGUCGGGCCCGGUCAGUGCUUGGAUGGGAGACCAAUGGUACCUGGGGUAGGUU